rnacentral:rRNA from 1 species
UACGUAGGUGGCAAGCGUUGUCCGGAAUUAUUGGGCGUAAAGCGCGCGCAGGCGGCCUUUUAAGUCUGAUGUGAAAUCUUGCGGCUCAACCGCAAGCGGCCAUUGGAAACUGGGAGGCUUGAGUACAGAAGAGGAGAGUGGAAUUCCACGUGUAGCGGUGAAAUGCGUAGAUAUGUGGAGGAACACCAGUGGCGAAGGCGACUCUCCGGUCUGUAACUGACGCUGAGGCGCGAAAGCGUGGGGAGCAAAC